rnacentral:rRNA from 1 species
GAUGAACGCUGGCGGCGUGUCUAAGGCGUGCAAGUCGAACGGUAACAGGUUAAGCUGACGAGUGGCGAACGGGUGAGUAAUGCAUCGGAACGUGCCCGAUCGUGGGGGAUAACGCAGCGAAAGCUGCGCUAAUACCGCGUACGAUCUGAGGAUGAAAGCGGGGGACCGUAAGGCCUCGCGCGAUCGGAGCGGCCGAUGUCAGAUUAGGUAGUUGGUGGGGUAAAGGCUCACCAAGCCAACGAUCUGUAGCUGGUCUGAGAGGACGACCAGCCACACUGGGACUGAGACACGGCCCAGACUCCUACGGGAGGCAACAGUGGGGAAUUUUGGACAAUGGGCGAAAGCCUGAUCCAGCAAUGCCGCGUGCAGGAAGAAGGCCUUCGGGUUGUAAACUGCUUUUGUACGGAGCGAAAAGGCUCCCUCUAAUACAGGGGGCUCAUGACGGUACCGUAAGAAUAAGCACCGGCUAACUACGUGCCAGCCGCCGCCGUAA